UACAGAGGUCCCAAGCGUUGUUCGGAUUCACUGGGCGUAAAGGGCGCGUAGGCGGCGCGGAUAGUCGGCGGUGAAAGCCCGGAGCUCAACUCCGGGUCGGCCGUCGAUACUUCCGGGCUUGAGCACUGUAGAGGCAGAUGGAAUUCCGGGUGUAGCGGUGGAAUGCGUAGAGAUCCGGAAGAACACCGGUGGCGAAGGCGGUCUGCUGGGCAGUUGCUGACGCUGAUGCGCGACAGCGUGGGGAGCAAACAGG
rnacentral:rRNA from 1 species